UACGGAGGGUGCAAGCGUUGUUCGGAAUCAUUGGGCGUAAAGCGCGUGUAGGCGGCCAAAUAAGUCUGGUGUGAAAGCCCGGGGCUUAACCUCGGAAGUGCACUGGAUACUGUUUGGCUAGAGGACGAGAGAGGGAAGUGGAAUUCCUGGUGUAGGGGUGAAAUCCGUAGAUAUCAGGAGGAACAUCGGUGGCGAAGGCGACUCCUGGCUCGUUUCUGACGCUCAGACGCGAAAAGCGUGGGGGAGCAAACAGGG
rnacentral:rRNA from 1 species